GUCUGCAACUCGACUACAUGAAGCUGGAAUCGCUAGUAAUCGCGAAUCAGAAUGUCGCGGUGAAUACGUUCCCGGGUCUUGUACACACCGCCCGUCACACCAUGGGAGUCAGUAACGCCCGAAGCCGGUGACCCAACCAGUUCAGGAGGGAGCCGUCGAAGGUGGGACCGAUAACUGGGGGUGAAGUCGUAACAAGGUAGC
rnacentral:rRNA from 1 species